rnacentral:rRNA from 1 species
CAGUCGCCGCGGGAAUACGGAGGGGGCUAGCGUUGUUCGGAAUUACUGGGCGUAAAGCGCACGUAGGCGGCUUUGUAAGUUAGAGGUGAAAGCCCGGAGCUCAACUCCGGAAUUGCCUUUAAGACUGCAGAGCUAGCAGGUGAGAGAGGUGAGUGGAAUUCCGAGUGUAGAGGUGAGAUUCGUAGAUAUUCGGAAGAACACCAGUGGCGAAGGCGACUGACUGGACAAGUAUUGACGCUGAGGUGCGAAAGCGUGGGGAGCAAACAGGAUCAGAUACCCCCGUAGUCCCUGUCUCUUAUAC